rnacentral:lncRNA from 1 species
GCGGUUUGGCUGUUUUGGCCUCGAUAUCACCGGUAGCGGCCGCUAUUGACAACAGAGGUUAGGACUAUUUUGAUCACCUUUCUUUGGUCUAUAAUUUUUCUAUGCAGAAUUGAUUCUUCCUCUUCCAUUGAGAUGUUGUAAUUGAAAACAAAAAAAAAAAAUCUUCAAAAAAGAUCCUUAAGACAUUUAAUUUGAGUCAUCUCACUUAUAUGUUAUUCAACUUCAACUUUUCAUUCAUUUUGGAACUUUUGAGAUUAUAAAAUUUUAUGGGCUCUAGAGAACACGCCAUUAAUAUGGCCAAGGAGGAGAUAAUUAAAAGAGUUAUAAAAUCACCACAAUCUUCUAUCUCUUUCUCUAUCACUGCCAAUUCUUGAGAAGGAGAAACAAGUGAAAGAGCAGGCUGCAAUGUGUAUGCAUCCAAAACAUGUAACAAAACUUUCAUUUCAUUUCACUGCAAAAGAAAAGAAAAAAUGUGGAACGGGUCCUUCAUGAAAACCUUUCAACGGCACAAAACCAAUGAUUUGAAAAUUUUGAAGUUUUAUGUCAACUCUUGAUGUUAACUAAGUGAGUGGUUGUUUUUUGUUUGUUAUGGAAGUGGCAAAACAAUCUAUCUUAUGGAAUUGACAACCACUGAAUUAGUUAACAUCAACAUUUGACAUAUAACUUUUAAUAUUUUCGAAUCAUGGGUUUUAUACCGUUGAAGGGGUUCAUGAAGGAUCCAUUCCACAUUUCUUUUUCUUUUGUUUUGAGUUGAAAUGAAGUAAAAGUUUUUUUACAUGUUUUGCAUGCAUACACAUUGCAACCUGGUGUUCCACUUGUUCCUUCCUCUCUAGUAGAAGAAUUAGCAGUGAUAGAGAAAGGGAUAGGAGAUAUUUGUGGCUUUAUAACUCUUUUAAUUAUCUCCUCUUUGGCCGUAUUAAUGGUGUGUUCUCUAGAGCCCAUAAAACUUUAUAGUGUCAAAAUUUUCGAAAUGAAUGAAAUGUUGAAAUUGAACAGCAUAUAAGUGAGAAAACUCAAAUUAAAUGUCUUAUGAAUCUUUUCUAAAGAUUUUUUUUUUUUUUUUAAUUACAACUUAUCUAUAAAAGAGGAAGAAUCAAAUGCGCGAAGAAAAAAUAUAGACCAAAGAAAGGUGAUCAAAAUAGUCCAAAAAACUAAAAUUCCACCACCAACAUCAAAAACCAAAAUAGUCUGAAGUUUGUAUGCAAGAAGUGAUAUUUGCAAAAUAUCUCAUAACAAGAGCCACCAUGAUGAAGAGGGUUACUAUAAUUUGUAAUGAUUCAAUAGAAGCAGCUGAAAACUUGUUGUCAGUACCAAAAGCUUCCGGUGAUUU